CAUGAAAUAUUGCUUGCUGCAUCAAAGUCUGUCCUGACUCUUACCCUCGCAGAGUCCCUUUGAAACUAAUGGAGAUGAACGGGGUUCGGCAGAACAAAGUUUGUCCUUCAUAUCCAACUGGGAAAGAUAAAGCCAGCUGACCUAUUUCCAUGGGACUCCAGACUCCUGCAGUGUUUACUUACAGGGUUGCCCUGGAGCAAUCUCUUUGUCCUAGACUCUAGUUCCCUCUGCUUAAAGAAUCACUCACAACUUGCUCACACCCAGGGACCAUCAACAAGCCCCACCAGUCACAAUAACUCAGCAGUUAACAGGGUUCCGACACCUGUCAAAAGGAGUCACAGACCAGCUUCCCGGAUGAGGGGGACUCUGCCCUGAGGCUGCUCACACACUCUGAAGCAAAUCUUUUUUUAACACCUGAAGAGGCCUGAGAAAGGAGCUUGUGAGUUUGCUCUGAUCUCAGACCUGCUCCAUUCUUUCAGAAGAGGAAGGCAAGUCACCAGACCUUCCUUCUUGGACUACUCGCUAUGGUGCUGCAUCUGCACUCAAAGCGCUAAAUAUUGCCAGCUCCUCCCACUCUGGAUUGCAAUCACCCAGCCUGUCCCCCCCUCAUGCUCUGCCCCCAUGCACCCCACUCCUCAUCCUAUUCAUUCCCCCCACCUCCCAACCCAGGCUGCACUGGGAGAAGAGAUAUUUAGCAGAAAGUUUUUUUAUUUUGUUUUUUUAAGAGGGGAUUUAAUUUGUAGAUUUUAGCCUCAUUAGCAACCACCCCUAUCAUAAUCCCUAUUUUAUAAGGUGGGAAAAUGGAGGCACAGAAAGUUGAAGUGAUUGACCCAAGAUUAUGCAGAGAGGCAGUGACAGAGACGGGUCACUUUGCUUCUAGUCCAGUGGCCUAAUCCCUAGACCACAUUUCCCUCCAUCAGGCUUGCUAAAAUUCAGUAGUAAAUAAGAAUACAGAGUUCAGAGUUCAUGGAUGUUCAAAGGGCUUUACAAGCAUUUUUCAAUUAAUCCUGACAUCUAUAAAAUAAGAUCCCAAGAUUGUCACUCUGAAGCAGGGCUGCCCAGAGGAUUCAGGGGGUCUGGAGCAAAGCAA